rnacentral:piRNA from 1 species
UGAUGGAUUUCCGUAUAUUGAACCAUCCCUGCAUUCCU